rnacentral:lncRNA from 10 species
AGCACUCAAAUGGCCACUCGUAUUAAGUGAUGGAAUUCCACAAUUUUUUUCUGUAUAUUAAACCUGAUACUAUUUCACUCAGUUUAUCAUCGUUAGGGUGCAAAGUAGUCACCUAGAGGUGCCACUCAGUAUAUAGCACUGUGUUUAGAAAUUUAGGGAGCCGUGAAGUAUUUAGCCUCUGCUCUCUGAGACUUCAGCCAGGUGCAAAGAGCAGAUACAGAGCUGAAUGUGAGGUUGAGUUACUUACAUCCAGCAGUACCAGAAUGUGCCUGGGAAUCAUGGGGGUGAAAAAUUAACUCUGACUGAGGCAGGUAUCUCUGAUGCUUUUUGGAAGGAGGAUGGGGUCUGUGCCAGGCCUUGGAUGUGGGAGAAGGAGGAGCUGUCAGGAAGCAGCAGUGGCCUCAGCAACGGCACUGUUGUGAGGAACGUGGGCUGUGUUUGGGGAACAGCCAGGGGUUUUGUGUGGCAGGUUUACAGCACCUGUAGGAGACUGCAUUGGCUUAUUUUGAAUAACUGGCAAUUCCAUGAGUGAUGGUAUUAAACAUAUGAAGAUCUAGAAGGACUGGAGCCUCCGGAAAAAGACUGGACAUUACCUGCAAGUGCUCCUAGUCAGGAAUGUUCCAGUCUUUAUGGCUUUUCCGAAAUUUGGCAUUAGAAAAUCACUAUCGUCCUCAUUGGAUGUUCACAUGAAAUUUAAGCCUCUGGUUGUCUUUGGACUCCAUUUUUUCCAGGUAUGAAUUAAUGAGGAAUGCCUGCCUUUUCUUCCUUCUUCCUACCUCUC